rnacentral:ncRNA from 2 species
UUCUUAUCCAGAGAGGCUGAGGGACUGGCCCUGAGACGCCCGGCAACCUUCUUAGGCAUUUAUCUAAGAAAGGUGCUAAUUCCUGCAGAAGAAUAAUCUUCUGAAAGAUAAGGA